GACGAACGCUGGCGGCGUGCUUAACACAUGCAAGUCGAACGGAGAUGCUCCAGCUUUCUGGAGUGGACCAGUGGCGAACGGGUGAGUAACACGUGAGCAACCUGCCCCUGACUCUGGAAUAAGCGCUGGAAACGGCGUCUAAUACUGGAUACGAAACUGGCCCGCAUGGGGAUGGUUAGGAAAGUUCUUCGGUUCGGGAUGGUCUCGCGGGUUAUCAGCUUGUUGGUGUGGUAGUGGCUGACGAAGGUUACGACGGGUAGCCGGCCUGAGAGGGCGACCGGCCACACUGGGACUGAGACACGGCCCAGACUCCUACGGGAGGCAGCAGUGGGGAAUAUUGCACAAUGGGCGAAAGCCUGAUGCAGCGACGCCGCGUGCGGAAUGACGGCCUUCGGGUUGUAAACCUCUUUCAGCAGGGAAGAAGCGAAAGUGACGGUACCUGCAGAAGAAGCACCGGCUAACUACGUG
rnacentral:rRNA from 1 species